CCCAAAGUGGUGUAAUGAAAACACGCCAAGGUGACAGUUAAGUUCCUUGCUAAGGGCUUAAUCCCUUCGGGGACGGAGGAGUCCUAGGUUCGAUCCCUAGCUUUGGGG